GGGAGCAACCCGGACUAGACUGAGUUACUGGAAUUAAGACUUAUUCUAUGCAUCUGCUCUCCCACAAUAUGGCGCUGGGAGAGAAGUAAACAGCUUCCGCACAGCUGCCUCCAGUUCAACCAAUAAACUGUAGGACUUGCUCCUGAUUGGAGAGCAGCGUACUCGGCGUGUGGGCAGCCGAGUUAGGAUUGGCGGAGGAGGACUAUAAAGGAGGAGAGAGACGGCAUGCACCGGGAACAUCUAAGGGGAACAUCUAGCUGAAGGAACACCUGUGCAGCCCCCGAGAAAGCCGGCCGGCGGUGUGCUGCUCCCCUGCGGAAGUGGGGAAUGUGGCCAGGGGGAACUGCCCUUCCACGGAGGUGGAAGGGAUAGUAGCCAACCCGGGAAGAACCAGCAGCAAACCCGGGGAGGGCCGAGCAGACGAAAGAACAGCGCAGGGUCCUGUGUCGUUCCUCCACGAAGAGUGGGAGCAACAGCCACCCUUUCAGGAGACCUAUAUGGAGUUCCUGGCUCCUGGCUUCACCUGGAAGGAAUUUUUAAAGAUGGAAGACACUCCUGUAGCAUGUUUGUACAUCAGCCUGAAAUGUGAUUCCAUAGCCAGGGAAAGAUCAACCGUUCGAGAAAGAAAGGAAAUAAAGGAAUCAAGUCGCUAAGAGCAACAAAAUGAAGAACUUGCUUCAGUAACUAAUCGGCCAGUUGAUGUUCUGUAGGAUCCUGGAAGAGGAAGUAAGAAGGGAAUAAACUGAAGUAUUAAAAAGGUUAGAAUUUCCUUAACAUCAUUUCCACUCCCGCCCCCACCUUGAGAUUAAUAUAGGGCAGAGUUCACAUCAGCUGAUUCUCUGGUGUUGUGUUCCUGUUAUUCAAUCCUAGCCUUCAGCAAACUCAUUCUGAGUUUCUCAGCUGAACCAAAGGAAAUCAAAGAAUUUUCUUGGAAUCAAGGAAACCAAGGAAUCAACUGCUUAAACUAAGUUGAGCAAUAACCUCUUGAAGGCAGUGGCAGUGGCAAUCAGACAAGGUUUCCAUGGGAACAGGGUGGACUUAGGAGUUGGGGGGAGGGAAAUAAAAUCUGUAAGCAUCUUCUCUCUAGCACCUUGUACACAUCCUCUGAACCUUUACAUUACUUAUGAUCACAGGAUACAGAUGGAGCAACUGAGACACACCAUCCACCCUCGAUACUGUAUUAAACAUGAGGGGCAGGCAUCUGGCUUUGCAGUUAAAGCACAGGUUAAGAUGCCUGCGUCCCACACUGGAGUACCUGGGUUCAAUUUCCAGCUGGCUCAAGAGUCCAGCUUCCUGGCAAUAAACACAUGGGAGGCAGCAGGUGAUGGCUCAAGUAGGUGGGUCCUUACCACUCACAUGGAGGACCUGGAUGGACUGGGUUCCUGGCUCCCAGCUCAGGCCCCAGCUCUGGGAGCUGUUUUUCUGCCUGCCUCUUAAAAAAAAAAAAAGUUAAUGAGCCAUGCACCCUCUGCUUUACAAAUAUAAAUUCAUUUAAUCUUCAACAGCCCUAUGAGGUGGGAAUUAUGAUUGCCUUCAUUUUACAGAUAGAGAAACCAUGUGAUGGAGACAGGUUUAGUAGCUUGUUGGAGGAUGUUGGCUAAUAUGGGUGGAGCUGGGCUUUUAAUCCAAGCAGAACAGCUUCAUUGUCCACGCUCUUAAGCACGGUGUGUCACCACUCAGAAAGAUUCCCUCAUUCAAUACUUGUUGGACAAUGACUCUGCCAGAAAAAGCUCCAGCCUAGAGUUAGCUAACUAACUCAAGACCAGACACAGAUCAUAAGCCAUAAAGCCGGGGAUGGAACUCAAUUCUGCUUGGAAACCCUGUGUUCUUUCUCUGUGCAAUGCAGUGACUAUGAGUAUAUUUUCCUACUCUCCUUACCCUGGGAAGUUCUCUGUCAGCACUAACUUCCCCAAGUUCUGGGUUUUACUUCAGCAAAGUGGUAUUUCUUUGCAAGUCUCUAGGAAGAUAGCAUAUUUCUAGAUCUUACUAUCAACAUUCCUCUUUUUCUGUACCACUAAGCAGUCUUUAUUAGUAUAUCAGCUGCUGUUCUGUUUUACAUGCACAUGACCUUCUGAAACAAUUUCCUUCUAAUCAUGGAUCUUGCUGUUUCAUUACCAUUUGCUCUGACUUCCUUGUCCCUCCCGCCCCUACUCCUGGAUAUUGCUGAGAAUAAUGUCAUCAUCUCAGUCACCAACAAAGUGUUCAUUAUCCUUUUCAUUUUAUUUAUUGCAUUGUUGCACUAGUUCAAUCUUUUCAUUUUUCCAGGUGUUAUUCAUCUCCAUUGGAUUUCUAGGAAUAACUCAGAUAGAUUGUUAUCAGAUCUCCGAAGGUCUACCCUUAAAGGGUCUAACCCACAUUUUUUUUUAAAGAUUUAUUUAUUUAUUUGAAAGUCAGAGUUACACAGAGAGAGGAGAGGCAGACAGAGAGAAAGAGAGAGAGAGAGAGAGAGGUUUUCCAUCUGGUGGUUCAUUCCCCAACAGGCCACAAUGGCUGGAGCUGGAGCUGUGCCGAUCUGAAGCCAGGAGCCAGGAGCUUCUUCCAAGUCUCCCACAUGGGUACAGGGGCCCAAGGACUUGGGCCAUCUUCUGCUGCUUUCCCAGGCCAUAGCAGAGAGCUGGAUGGGAAGUGGAGCAGCUGGGUCUCA